CAGGCCUAAUCAUGCAAGUCGAACGGUAACAGCACUUCGGUGGCUGACGAGUGGCGCACGGGUGCGUAACGCGUAUACAAUCUACCUUUUACAGGGGGAUAGCCCAGAGAAAUUUGGAUUAAUACCCCAUGGCAUAUAUUUAUGGCAUCAUAUUUAUAUUAAAGAUUCAUCGGUAAGAGAUGAGUAUGCGUUCUAUUAGCUAGUUGGUGCGGUAACGGCGCACCAAGGCUACGAUGGGUAGGGGCCCUGAGAGGGGGAUCCCCCACACUGGUACUGAGACACGGACCAGACUCCUACGGGAGGCAGCAGUGAGGAAUAUUGGACAAUGGGCGAGAGCCUGAUCCAGCCAUGCCGCGUGCAGGAAGACUGCCCUAUGGGUUGUAAACUGCUUUUAUACGGGAAGAAACACCCCCACGCGAGGGGGCUUGACGGUACCGUAAGAAUAAGGAUCGGCUAACUCCGUGCCAGCAGCCGCGGUAAUACGGAGGAUCCAAGCGUUAUCCGGAAUCAUUGGGUUUAAAGGGUCCGUAGGUGGACGGUUAAGUCAGAGGUGAAAUCCUGCAGCUCAACUGUAGAAUUGCCUUUGAUACUGGUCGUCUUGAGUCAUUGUGAAGUGGUUGGAAUAUGUAGUGUAGCGGUGAAAUGCAUAGAUAUUACAUAGAACACCGAUUGCGAAGGCAGAUUACUAAUAAUAUACUGACAGCUGAGGGACGAAAGCGUGGGGAGCGAACAGGAUUAGAUACCCUGGUAGUCCACGCCGUAAACGAUGGAUACUAGCUGUUCGGACUUCGGUCUGAGUGGCUAAGCGAAAGUGAUAAGUAUCCCACCUGGGGAGUACGUUCGCAAGAAUGAAACUCAAAGGAAUUGACGGGGGCCCGCACAAGCGGUGGAGCAUGUGGUUUAAUUCGAUGAUACGCGAGGAACCUUACCAGGGCUUAAAUGUAGAUUGACAGGGGUGGAAACACCUUUUCCUUCGGGCAAUUUACAAGGUGCUGCAUGGUUGUCGUCAGCUCGUGCCGUGAGGUGUCAGGUUAAGUCCUAUAACGAGCGCAACCCCUGUUGUUAGUUGCCAGCGAUUAAAGUCGGGAACUCUAACAAGACUGCCGGUGCAAACCGUGAGGAAGGUGGGGAUGACGUCAAAUCAUCACGGCCCUUACGUCGUGGGCUACACACGUGCUACAAUGGCCGGUACAAUGAGCAGCCACCCCGCGAGGGGGAGCGAAUCUAUAAAACCGGUCACAGUUCGGACCGGAGUCUGCAACCCGACUCCGUGAAGCUAGAACCGCUAGUAAUAGGAUAUCAGCCAUGAUCCGGUGAAUACGUUCCCGGGCCUUGUACACACCGCC
rnacentral:rRNA from 1 species